UCAAGUCACACGCUCGUGUGUAAGGCCAUGUGGAGCAUACUGCUUGAUUUCAAAUUCAACAUCAAGGGACACACAGCCGUGUACUUGACCGUGUGUCACACGCGAUUGAGACACACGCCCGUGUGGACAAAAGUAGGCUAUUUACCAAGCCAAUUUGCCAUCCAAAUAUACAUAUACCUACACAACUAAAAUGCUUUUAACCUCAAGUCUUACUCAAUCAAAACAUACCAAAACACAAUUACAAAUCAAC
rnacentral:lncRNA from 1 species